rnacentral:rRNA from 1 species
GACGAACGCUGGCGGCGUGCUUAACACAUGCAAGUCGAACGGAAAGGCCCCUUUGGGGGUCCUCGAGUGGCGAACGGGUGCGUAACACGUGAGUAACCUGCCCUUGACUUCGGGAUAACUUCAGGAAACUGGGGCUAAUACCGGAUAGGAAUCCUUGCUGCAUGGUGGGGGUUGGAAAGCUUCGGGGGGUUUGGAUGGAGUCGCGGCUUAUUAGCUUGUUGGUGGGGUAGUGGCUUACCAAGGCUUUGACGGGUAGCCGGCCUGAGAGGGCGACCGGCCACAUUGGGACUGAGAUGCGGCCCAGACUCCUACGGGAGGCAGCAGUGGGGAAUAUUGCACAAUGGGCGGAAGCCUGAUGCAGCAACGCCGCGUGCGGGAUGACGGCCUUCGGGUUGUAAACCGCUUUCAGCAGGGGCGAAGCUUGUGGUGACGGUACCUGCAGAAGAAGCACCGGCUAACUACGUG